GCCCCUGUCGCCCAAUGGAUAGGGCACUGGCCUCCGAAGCCAGUUGUACAGGUUCGACUCCUGUCAGGGGCA
rnacentral:tRNA from 1 species